AUGCAAGUCGAGCGGAUGAAGGGAGCUUGCUCCUGGAUUCAGCGGCGGACGGGUGAGUAAUGCCUAGGAAUCUGCCUGGUAGUGGGGGAUAACGUCCGGAAACGGGCGCUAAUACCGCAUACGUCCUGAGGGAGAAAGUGGGGGAUCUUCGGACCUCACGCUAUCAGAUGAGCCUAGGUCGGAUUAGCUAGUUGGUGGGGUAAAGGCCUACCAAGGCGACGAUCCGUAACUGGUCUGAGAGGAUGAUCAGUCACACUGGAACUGAGACACGGUCCAGACUCCUACGGGAGGCAGCAGUGGGGAAUAUUGGACAAUGGGCGAAAGCCUGAUCCAGCCAUGCCGCGUGUGUGAAGAAGGUCUUCGGAUUGUAAAGCACUUUAAGUUGGGAGGAAGGGCAGUAAGUUAAUACCUUGCUGUUUUGACGUUACCAACAGAAUAAGCACCGGCUAACUUCGUGCCAGCAGCCGCGGUAAUACGAAGGGUGCAAGCGUUAAUCGGAAUUACUGGGCGUAAAGCGCGCGUAGGUGGUUCAGCAAGUUGGAUGUGAAAUCCCCGGGCUCAACCUGGGAACUGCAUCCAAAACUACUGAGCUAGAGUACGGUAGAGGGUGGUGGAAUUUCCUGUGUAGCGGUGAAAUGCGUAGAUAUAGGAAGGAACACCAGUGGCGAANNCGACCACCUGGACUGAUACUGACACUGNNNUGCGAAAGCGUGGGGAGCAAACAGGAUUAGAUACCCUGGUAGUCCACGCCGUAAACGAUGUCGACUAG
rnacentral:rRNA from 1 species